ACUCUGGCUUACAGCUGAACUAUUUAAAAAAAUGGCUUAAAAUUAUUAUGUUACUUGAUGCUUAAAUAUUUCAUUUCAGGUAGAUCUGAAAAGAAGACUUCUGUUGUUAUUAUUCAAUAGUUUUUUCCAUUACUGAAGCACCUUUGUAUGUGUUUGUGGAAGAGCCAAGAAAGCUCAGAAUAAGCUUUUCGGUUACAUUACCACCACAGCAGGAAUAGGAUCUACAUUUGCAAAAAUACUUAAUGACUUAUGUUUGUUUUUUUUUAAUAGCUUCUGUAAAAAUAACAACAAAAUAAUAAUAAUAAUGGAAGUUUUCUGGUGGAUAAUACUUGAGUUGUGUCCUAUGGAUGCUACUUUGGAGAUAAAUUGCCAUGUAUUUUUGUUUUGAUUCUGUUUUGAAAGACAGCACUUUUUUUCCAGUCCACUCUGAAGUGAAAUUGGAAUAGCAGAGAUGGAAGAGUUGGAAUAAUACAGAAAAAAUUACUUAAUAAUUAUAGAGCCACUCUUCUAAAUGUGAUGAUAUUCAAGAGAGAACAGUGGGCUUUGAGAGUCUUAUCAACAGAUUCAUUGAACUUGCUUUGUACCUUUACUGGGAUUCAGGAGAACUUGGACCUUGUAUUUAAUAAAAGAAUGCUGGCAUUGAAUAAAUGAUGAAGUUUCAGACUGCUUUCUGUGUGGCAUUGUGCUCUUGGGCCUACAGCCUCAUGGCAGAAGAGAACUUCUAUCAAUUCAAAAGAAGUUUAAAGCCUACCCAGUAGUGUGUUCCUGCAGCCCAGAAGGCCGACAAUAUCCUGGAUUGCAUCAGAAGAGGGGUGACCAGCAAGGAGAAGGAGACUGAAGAAUUUUAAGCGUCUUCCCUGACCGUGUAUCAUUUGGGAUGAUUUCCUGGAGACAGAAAGGGGCUGGCAGAGCACAUAGCGCUGCCUUUACUUAAGGGAAGGCUCGGAACAGAAAUGCUCCGAAGACUGGGUGCUGCGCUUCUUGCAAGCUUCCGCAUGGGGGCACAGACGGUUCACUCUUGCAAACUUCUCCGACGGGCUGCGGAAGAAAACCUGCUAAGUUUAGUUCUGACAACUCCUAUGAAGUAGCCAUGGGACUGGAAGGUGUGCAGGGGGCAUGCCUGUUGAAUCCCUGCUUGUGCUUUCUGGAUACUCCAACUUCUACUUGCAGAUUCAGCAUACAGAUGCUAACUUUCUUGAGGAAAACUGGGUUUCAAAAAGUGUUGUUAGUAUUGGUUUCUGUAUAGAUGAGUUUUUGCAUCUCCUUGUUAAAGUGGUUGGUUGUGAUUUAAUCUGGCAGGUGGCUGAGCAGCACACAGUUGUUUGCUCACUCUCCAACUCCCAGUGGAUGGAGGAGAUAAUUGGAGGGGGGGGAGGAGAGGAAGCAAAGUAGAACUCAUGGCUGGAGAUGAAACUAUUUACUAAGGUAGAGAAAAGGAGAAGGAUAAUUGUUAUUAUGAUAUAUAUAUAUGUGUGUGUAUAUACAUAUGUAUGUAUAUAAAACGCUAUAUGACACCAGACACUGAACAAAACAUAGAGCAGAUAGAGAAUAUCCUUAUUCUUGUUUCAUCAGCUGUAAAAUGUUCAUGAGCCUAAUAAUGUGAAAUAUUGAUGGCUAAGGGGUCAUUUUUCCUUCUGGAAGAGGCCUCUAAGGGCUAAGAACUUAAAAGUGUUUCUUAACUGCUAACAUACAAAUAGUUGGAUCAAUCAAACUGCUCUGAUUUUGAAAUAUUUUUCUGUUACUUUUUUUUUUUCCUCCCCAAUAUGAAUGCACUGAAACAUCUAUAGAUAAGAAGACAGGAAAAUAAAAAAAUUCCUUUUGAAACUGAGAUAUAGUGACACACUAUAUAUUUUUCUUUAAAAAAUAAACACAACUGUUUAAUCUAGAAAGUCAUUAAAUGUCAUCUUUUUCCCAUUACUAAUUCUGACAGUUCUAUUUAAAAUGUUUUGUUUUCUGAUCAGCUCUUCUUAACUGACAAUGAGUCAAUUCAAGAUUCCCUUGUAUUUCUGAUCCUCACAGAACCUUAACAAGAACAGAUGUUUCUGGCACCUGUCUAUGUGUGGGAUGUGUUGCACCUCCAAAGCAUGCUGUUCUGCCCAACACCUUGGCACCCAGAAGGAAUUACGAUUUACCUGGACAUGUAUGCCAAGCUUCAUUUUUUGUCUGGUGAACUGAUGAAUUACGGCAUGUAUCCUCUUUAUAGAGACACGAUGGUGCUUGAUAAUGGGAAGGAAGUCCCUGGAUUUCCUCACUUUGCCCACCAUGAUGCACAAUAAAAAUUACACCCCUUGAACUUUCAUGGACAUAAGUUUGCCUCCAGAAAUCAGAGUGAAAGAACCCUUGGAAAUGAUUUGCCUCUGGCUGCACAGCCCCAAGGAGCGGAUCUGCUCCCAUCGCAGGCUGGCUGAGCUCUCAUCCCACAUGUUGGAUAUUCCCCUGGGAUGCACUCAGAAAAUCUGAAGAAUUCAAAGAAAGUAAUCCAUAAACUGUGAGCAGUGUGAAGAGGUUUGCCCACUAAGCUUGGAGCAAGUCUCUACCAUCAAGAUAACCUGUUCAGCCUCCUCUGGUUCCUGAAGAGCCACUUUGUGGAAAAGUGCUGCCAGCGUUACUGUUUUCCUGCUGAGACUGAUAGAGUUGGAGACAGCAUCUGUGAAAUGAAAUUACAGCUCUUGAUGCUUUCUACUUCAUCUUGAGGAAAUUUCAAGAGAUACUGUGUAACCACUCUCAGUAAUUUUUAAUCCACUUGCUACUGUGGAAAUUAAUUAAGAGAUUAUGAAAACAACAGUGCUUAGGGGUGUUGGCUUGAGUCAUGCUUCCAGCGUGAGUUCGUGGUAGACUACCGAACAAAACCAAUGAGAUCCACUGUGCCUUCUGAAACAAACAACUCAGUAUUAAACAGUUGGAAGGUUUUUAUAAAAGAACAAUAAGUGUAUAACGAUGGUCUCCUGAGUUUCCACAGUGACUAGGUGAGAAAAACUGUUUUGAGAAAUCUCACUUGCUUUACACAGCUUUAACUGUUGUGUAUCAGUUUACUUGAUGUGAACGAGUUUACUUGAUGGAAGCAUGGAAAUGAUCAAAUACAGGGUACUUAGUACACAGAUAGAUAAUGUCACACUGUACUCAGGCUUUAUAGCGUAUGCUGAAACAUAGGCAGUCACUUGACAGGAGAAGAAACAGCAAAUAUUAAAGAGCACCUACCACAAACUUUGAAUUUUUAAUUCAGGAUAAGUGUAAAGACAAAAAUCAAGUCUCUAAGCACAGGUUUAAAUCCAACCUCACUGGCUAAUGCAGAGGAGAGAACCGUUUUAUAACUUGUGCAAUGCAGCUGUUCACAAAACCUCAUUCACCUAUUGGGAGUGCUUUGGGGGAAAUGAUCAGUUACCAAGUAGCAAGGAUUGAAAUGUUCAUUUCAAAGUAGAUAUUUCUGCUCAUGCAAGGAAAAUGGUUUUUUGUGUGUGUGUUUUGUUUGUGUGUGUGUGUGUGUUUGUUUGUUUUGUUUUUGAGACUACUGAGUUCUCUAAAAAUGAAAAAAAACUGUUCAUUAAAUCAGUUAAAAUUUGACCUUUAGUUUCAGUGAAAAAGAGAGUUGAAAAACAUUUGGAAAAUGCAGAUUUUUGAAUGUUAAAUUAAGAGCUUGAAGUUCACACACAGCUAAAUUUAACACAGAAAUUAAAAGCAGAAGAGAUAUUGAAAUGUUGCAUUCAACUUAACACGAUAAUAUGAAGACUAAAAUCAGGAAAAAUUAAAUCUUUUUUGAAGGAGAGGAGUAUCCUCAGUAUAUUGCUGAGAAUUCCUUUCUCUUUCAGCAACUGAAUUAAAACUCACCAAUGGCCACUAGGAAGCCAAUCAGCCUGAUACCGUGGUUCUGUUUAGAGGGGAAAAAAUGGAAAAAAACGUUUAAAACUUCAGUGUAGAGAGGUGUCAGAAAAGAAAAGGAUUAAAGAGAAAUAGGUAAUGGAUUCACUUUCAAUUUAUUUUGUGGCCAAUAUUAUUGGCACAUCUCUGUCAGUGUUUCUGAAAUGGCAGUAUAGUAUAGGCAUUGUUCUGUGCACAGUGACAGAGUAAGUGAAGAAAAAAACAAGACAGAGCACAAUGCAAAUUCAAAAUGACCUUGUUCUGUGUAAGGGAUGGCACUUUGAGCACAUGGUUAUUGCCACAUUGACUGCUUGGUUAUUGCUGCUGCCUAGGUGCAGGCUUAUCCAAGUGCAUCCACAUUUCAAAUAUCUGGUUUGAAGGGAUGUCAAAGUUUAAUAGCAGCUGCCACUUUCUGUGUGCUUUUAUGUGCUUUGAAAGACAGGUUCAUCCAGGAUCACCUAGGAUCCUCCAGUUUUUGCUGCAGGUAUUUAUAUGUAAUCAAACUGCUUAUUUUUCAUGAAAGGUAAUUUUAGGACAUAAAUAUAGGAUACCUAUUAAAAAAAAAAAAAACAGAAGAAGAAGAAGAAAAAGAACUAUGUUACUGUUCAUCUGUAAGCCUAAGCAUUUUGAGAAUUGUCAAAACUUUAUGUAUCAAGUUGAAAAGAAUUAGUAGAUAUUGUGUAAAACAUCAAGUUUCUGAUUAUUUUGAAUUUCAAAGUAGAAAAAGAGAAGUAAAACUAUUUCUACUAUACAUGUUUAUAAUGGUCUGUAGUCUUUUACACUCGCCCCUAUCCUCAUAGAAUGCUACAUAGCAUUUUGGAAAAUUAGGACUGAUUUCUGCAGUGGAUCUGUACUCCAAACGAAUGGAAAUUUCAGUCAUUUCACUCAGUGACUGGUUUCACAGCAUGACUGUAAUAACAAUGCCAGGUAUUUCAUGAAAUACCUGAAUAAUGUAGGCAUUUCACUUUAGGCCCAGAUAGAGCAGUCAAACGAUGCAGCAGAAUACCUAUCGUGUCAGUCAUUGUGCUGAGUGACUGAAACUCAAUAAUUUCACAGAACAACAGGUUACACAUGACAAGAUGCAUAUUUAUCUUCACACCUUUGUAAUUUGCAAAGGUGGAUCCACCAUAGUUCGUGCUUGCUUAUGCCUAACCUGCUGAGCUCUGCCCCAGUUUUCCAGUCCCACUGUCAGCCUCAUGAAUUUGGUGAGCACUCGUGGGGACAGGACAGUGGCUCCAGCAGCAUCCAGUCCUGACAAGUCACAUGGUGAGGUUCUGCUCAGCUGUGCUGGAAGUGAGGGGAUAUGAGCAAAGCAAAGGGGACCACAGCAUUCAUGUGCUGCCAGGAAUCUUCUUAAUUGCUUCCACCUGAAGAAGAACUUCACACGUCUGAGAAACAGUGCUCGGUCUGGCUGAAACAUGCAGGGCUGAGUGGACCUAUAUGGCUUGGCCACCUAUCUGAACAAAAAGUGGCCCAGAUCUGCUGGGUUCUUGCAUAAGAUAACAUGCGCACCUCUAGUCCAUGUCUGCUUGCAGCAUAAAUGCUGUACCUGCUCUUAUGACAAACGUGUAGUGGAAAUAAUAUCUGAGACAGAAGGGAAUACUUGCAAACAACAAAUGUUGCUUUUCUCUGAUGGCUUCAGUGUUUUGUUUGCUCGUUUCAGAGAGAAAUAGCCAAUAGAAGCCAUUUACCACUUUAUUAUUUUCCACCAUCUCUUAAUUAUAUGAAAACAUCAGAACUUAAUUUAAUCUUUAAUUAGCAUAAUCCAAAUACAAAGUUCAGCCUCAUCAAGAACACAAAAGUAUUGAUUACCUGUCCUUUCCACCACAGAGCCAAAAAUCACUUCCGUGCUGUGCUUAUUAAUAUAUGCUCAUAGCAGUGGCAUUGAAAUCUAUCACUGCGAUCAACCUUUAUUUUCAGUCAGUCAAUGGCCAUUGACCCAUGCAGAUAAAUUACCGUAGUGAAUUUUGCAGCUGCUUGCUCAGACUCUUAUAUCAAUAGUUGACCUACCGAAUGCUUAUUCUUAGUUUUCUCCUCUUCUUCCUACCAACAAAGCUCAAACUAUGCAGAGAUUCAAACAAAUAUAUUAAGAUGCAGGUUGCAGAUUGUUUUCCUGUUCUCUGCAAAGACAUGUGGUUCCUUUCUUAUUUUUACCUGCUGGUGUCAGUAGAACACCCAUUUUGCCAACCUGAGAGUGGAAUAGUAUUUUAAAUAAAGGGAACUUCAGAAAAGGAACGUGUUGUCCUGUUGGCUCCAAAAGAUAUUUCUCAAAUUUAGUAGAUAAAAAUAAAGUCUUCCUAAGUGAUUGUUAGACUGUAACCUACAUGACAAGAUUUUGGUCUUGAUUUGAAUUAAAAAAUCCCAAUGUUUGGCUAGAUAAUAUUAGAUUUUCUCUGUUGUGCCUGGAGACCUCCUGCAAGUAUAGGGUCUGACUCUGGACUUUAUCAUGGAUUUUGAGACUUCAGAAGCAAAAUCUUAUUCUGACUUAUCAUUUAAAUAACUUUCAACUUGGAAAAUGAAAUAAUUUCUUAGGUUGGCUUCAGAUUUCCCUCUUUGCUAUACAAAAGUGAAUAAACUGACAAGAAAGAAAUGCAUGGCAAAAAAAAAUAAGUCAACUUAUUUCUGUCUUUUAUAUUUUUGAUUCAAAAAGGACGUGAUUUUUAUGGAUCUUCAAAACUGUUUUCUGUUCUUGUGUUAAGAAGCAAAGAGAAGUUCUAGUAAGCAGAUGGCCUGGUACUUAUUGUACAGAGCAACACGAAAGUUAAGGGAUGUAAUCUCAGUGCAAGUCUUGUGCCACUGAACUGGAAAAUCUUUGAGAUUUAGUUUUAGCCUAUUCACCCUAAAGUUAUUGUUUAAGGCAGAAUGUGAGUUCAAUAGAGAAGCAUCAUGCUUGUUGUAUCUGAUGAAAUUACUGUUAAAUGACAUAAUUCAA